GACAGAGGUCCCGAGCGUUAGGCGGAAUCACUGGGCUUAAAGCGUGUGUAGGCGGAUUUGUAAGUACCUUGUGAAAUCCCACGGCUCAACCGUGGAACUGCUUGGUAUACUGCUUAUCUUGGGCCAUCUAGGGGCGAGCGGAACAAACGGUGGAGCGGUGAAAUGCGUAGAUAUCGUUUGGAACGCCAAUGGUGAAAACAGCUCGCUGGGGAUGUGCCGACGCUGAGACACGAAAGCCAGGGGAGCGAACGGG
rnacentral:rRNA from 1 species